rnacentral:rRNA from 1 species
ACAUCCACGGAAUUUAGCAGAGAUGCUUUAGUGCCUUCGGGAACCGUGAGACAGGUGCUGCAUGGCUGUCGUCAGCUCGUGUUGUGAAAUGUUGGGUUAAGUCCCGCAACGAGCGCAACCCUUAUCCUUUGUUGCCAGCGGGUUAUGCCGGGAACUCAAAGGAGACUGCCAGUGAUAAACUGGAGGAAGGUGGGGAUGACGUCAAGUCAUCAUGGCCCUUACGAGUAGGGCUACACACGUGCUACAAUGGCGCAUACAAAGAGAAGCGACCUCGCGAGAGCAAGCGGACCUCGUAAAGUGCGUCGUAGUCCGGAUUGGAGUCUGCAACUCGACUCCAUGAAGUCGGAAUCGCUAGUAAUCGUAGAUCAGAAUGCUACGGUGAAUACGUUCCCGGGCCUUGUACACACCGCCCGUCACACCAUGGGAGUGGGUUGCAAAAGAAGUAGGUAGCUUAACCUUCGGGAGGGCGCUUACCACUUUGUGAUUCAUGACUGGGGUGAAGUCGUAACAAGGUAAGCGUAGUGCU